rnacentral:rRNA from 1 species
AGUGAACGCUGGCGGUAGGCCUAACACAUGCAAGUCGAACGGCAGCACAGAGGAGCUUGCUCCUUGGGUGGCGAGUGGCGGACGGGUGAGGAAUACAUCGGAAUCUACUCUGUCGUGGGGGAUAACGUAGGGAAACUUACGCUAAUACCGCAUACGACCUACGGGUGAAAGCAGGGGACCUUCGGGCCUUGCGCGAUUGAAUGAGCCGAUGUCGGAUUAGCUAGUUGGCGGGGUAAAGGCCCACCAAGGCGACGAUCCGUAGCUGGUCUGAGAGGAUGAUCAGCCACACUGGAACUGAGACACGGUCCAGACUCCUACGGGAGGCAGCAGUGGGGAAUAUUGGACAAUGGGCGCAAGCCUGAUCCAGCCAUACCGCGUGGGUGAAGAAGGCCUUCGGGUUGUAAAGCCCUUUUGUUGAGAAAGAAAUCCAGCUGGCUAAUACCCGGUUGGGAUGACGGUACCCAAAGAAUAAGCACCGGCUAACUUCGAGCCAGCCGCCGCGGUAA